rnacentral:rRNA from 1 species
GACGAACGCUGGCGGCGUGCUUAACACAUGCAAGUCGAACGAAAAGAGGGAAAGAGCUUGCUCUUUCCGGAAUUGAGUGGCAAACGGGUGAGUAACACGUAAACAACCUGCCUUCAGGAUGGGGACAACAGACGGAAACGACUGCUAAUACCGAAUAAGUUCCAAGGGCCGCAUGGCCCAUGGAAGAAAAGGUGGCCUCUACCUGUAAGCUAUCGCCUGAAGAGGGGUUUGCGUCUGAUUAGCUGGUUGGAGGGGUAACGGCCCACCAAGGCGACGAUCAGUAGCCGGUCUGAGAGGAUGAACGGCCACACUGGAACUGAGACACGGUCCAGACUCCUACGGGAGGCAGCAGUGGGGAAUCUUCCGAAAUGGGCGACAGCCUGACGGAGCAACGCCGCGUGAGUGAUGACGGCCUUCGGGUUGUAAAACUCUGUGAUCCGGGACGAAAAGGCAGAGUGCGAAGAACAAACUGCAUUGACGGUACCGGAAAAGCAAGCCACGGCUAACUACGUG